ensembl:misc_RNA Metazoa_SRP Metazoan signal recognition particle RNA
GCCGGGCGUGGUGGUGGGCACCUGUAAUCCCAGCUACUCGGGAGGCUGAGGCAGGAUAAUUGCUUGAACCCGGGAAUUGGAGGUUGCAGUGAGCUGAGCUCGCACCACUGCACUCUAGCCUGGGUGACAGAGCAAGACUCUGUCUCGA